GGAGGGCCGUAGCUCAGAAGCAGAGCACCUGCCUUGAGUGCAGAAGGUCCCAGCUUCAAUCCCUAGCACCUCCA